rnacentral:lncRNA from 1 species
UGCGAUUUGAAUAGGUCAAAACGGAGUUAAAACGGAGAAGAUAUGGCUUAAAUAAACUAAUGUAUUUCUAUCGUAUUUUUAGAUUUAUUUUUCUAAAGCAAAACGGCAAUAAUGCUUGGUUAACAUCAUGAUGAUGUCAUCAAGCCAAUUGCAACAGAGAACGCACGGCGAAACUCCAUUGCCUGGCUACGAAGACUCAUCGGCGUUAGGCCUAUAUGACUUUUGAACAGGGAAAGGGGUGCGCUGGGCCGGCCUUGACUCAGAUCGGGCCGAGAUUUAGGAGGGAGGUGAGGUUUUCUUCUUUUCUUUUCUUUUUAUUUUUAAGUCCUUUUUAAAACAGUUUAGAAAUCAAUUUAAAAAUAUUUUGACUUUUCUCAAAUUCACACAAUACAAUGAAAAUAAAUGCUCCAAAUAUGAAUGCACAACAAGUUGCUAAGUCCUAUAAUAAAUUUUAUUUAAAUGAAAAUACUAUUUUCCUAUGUUUUAUGAGCACAAAAAUACAAAAUUAAAUUAUUUUCACCUAUUUCAAAAAAGAGUAAAUUUUAGGGUGUCACAUUAGGACAAAUAUUUUUGAAGAUAUGAUUUUUUGAAUCAUUUAAAUAAUUUCUAAAAAUAUAUAUAAGGAAAACUUUAAAUAAACUGAAAAUACAUUAGUACACGGGUUGACU